rnacentral:lncRNA from 1 species
GUGGAUCAAAAUACAAGUAUUCAUGUAAGUGUAUACAGGUAAAUGUAUCUAUGUAAAGGUAUUCGUGUAAGGUAUUCAUGUAAGGUAUUCAUGUAAGCGUAUCUAUGUAGACAUAUUCAUGUAACAUGUAAUGUAUAGUAUAGACUCAUGAAUGAACUGACUCUGCUGUAAUUCCUUGUAAUAGGAAUAUUGUUUUGAAUCACUUACCUGUCCCUAUAAUAGUUAACAUGAAGGUAAUUGAUUUUCCAAACAUGUUUAUACAACCUUGCUACACAAGAGUGUGGGAAACUGACUGAAGGAGGAAAACUAUAACAUCAAUACACAUAUAAGAACAUAAGUGUAUAGAUAUAGUUUGGUUCAAGAAGGUAAAAAUGGUUUUGUAAGACAUCUAAGAGUUUUGAACAAUAAUUAACAAUGACUUGAUGUCAUUUUAAUAAACAUUUCAAACGUAAUACUUUUGCUAUCAAGGUAUUUUUAAGAUAUAAAACCAUUUCAUGUAGCACAUUUUGUAGUAUGUGAAAUCUGCUGAAUGAAAGCACAAUUAUAAAUACAUAUGAUUGAUUUAAUAACAUGCUGUUUUCUACUUGUAUUCACCCCCAUUAAAGCAUUUAAAAUCAUUUAAAACAUUGAUUAAGGGGUAUGAACUCACAUGUUGCGAGUGGAUCGGAAGGAAGUGUCGGAUAGGUGCUUGGUGUCAAGAGAAGAUUUAGACACGCACAAAGAUCCUAAUAACAUAUAAAGUCAUAUGUAUAUAAACAAAUAGUCUUUAAACAACCAAUAAAAAAGUCAAGACACUCUAGGACAUGACAAACACUUGGUAUAAGUGUUAUAAGUGUUAAGGAGUGCAUCUAAGUGUUGUAGGNNNNNNNNNNNNNNNNNNNNNNNNNNNNNUAGUGUGUUUGGGGUUCAAGGAACACUCCUAAAAUGAGUUUACUCCCUAAAGACCAACACCCCUUGAGUUUACGGUCAUAAACUCUUGAGUUUAUGGUCGAAAACUCCUAAACUUAUGACCAUUUGUUGUUUUGAACUCUUCUAAGCUAUUCCAAGCAUUCCUAUUUCAUGUUUAAGCCUUAGGAAGUGUUGUGUGGCAACAAAACACUCCUAAAUGGAGUUUACGGUCUAAGGACCAUUUCUUCAUGAGUUUACUACCUUAAAGUCAUGAGUUUACUACCUUAAACUCAUAAGCUUAUGGUAUUUGGGGUUUUCUAGUCCUUAGCUCAAUCAUGGCACUAGUCUAGGUUAGAUUUAGACAUAAGGAACAACCAUGAGACUUUUAUGGGACUUUUAUACAACUUUUGGGGUUUUUACGGUUUUGGGAGAUCCCCAAACCAUAAACACAUGAAAAUGUAAGGUUUUCGUGCUUUUUGUGUGAUAAACUCGUCAAGGAUGAAUUUAGACAAGUCCCUAAGGCAUGGUGAAGCAUCUAGGCACCCAAAGGCACCACUUUGCACCAUAUUUGGUGUUUACGGUUUUGGGAGCCUCCCAAAACCGUUAAAACCUUGAUCUUGGUGUUCUUGGGACUUUUCUUUGAUGUUAAUAUGUAAUACAAGCUUAUUAAGACUCAAGGAUGGAAGUACUUACUAUAAGGAAGCUUGAAACGGUACCAAGGGCCUAAGAACACUAGUAUGUGUUCUUGGUGUUUUGGAAAACCAGUCAAAACACAUAAAUGGUUGGAUUAAUGGAUGUAUAAUCACUAGAUGUUAUGUUAUAUCAACUAAUCAAGUCGAGAAACAAUUACGUUUUCGGGAAAUCGGGCGAAAACCGGGAUGAUACUUGAGAGAGUUUUUGAGUUUACUCUUUUGGUAAUUGGGGAGUAAACAUAAAUGACUAGUUUGGGGAGUAAACUCAUGCUUAUGCAUGAGUUCACGGUUUUUGGAUGGUUUUCCGACCCAAACAUAAAAGUUUGGCCGUGAACUUCUAAGACACGAGGUGUUUGCGGUUUAGAAAUUUCGAGACCCGAGACGGCCUAUCCGUUCACCCGUUCGUUUAAAGAUUAAUUAUUAAAAUAGUCAAAUGAACUUAUUUUUCCCAAAAACAAGUAAAAGUGAACUUUACUUAUAAUAUGAAGUGAUUGACUUUUAGGGUUUGAUCGAAUGAAAAUUCCGGGUUGUCACAUCAUCCCUCUGUUAGAGGGAAUUUCGUCUUGAAAUUAGAAUUUAGGUAAGGAAGUAGAUAUGAAUGAUCGAGUCAAGAGGUGGAAACUUGCUAAUCGAUUGAUUCUCGUGCUCAUAAGUGAAUACGGGUCCUCGGUUGGUAUUCCAACGAACCUUCACUGACGGGCAACGGCGCUGCUUCGUCCGCUUGACCACUCGGUCGAGGGUCACUACAAUUCUAAUACGAAGGAGAGGAUCUCGUUAAUCUCGAUUUUGUCGAGUGGUUUACGAGAGUCCUAACGGAAAGGUACGGAUUAAAAAAAUCGAGACGCGAAGGGUAAAAUGUACGUUACUGAGUUCGCGGAGUAGGUUUAGUCUAUGAGAUACAGGACCGAUUCUGGUAAGAAUCUCAGAAGUCCUGACUAUCAUGGAUUUAGCUUUCCAAGCUUUACGAAGUGCAUUAAGCCAUUCUUAGAGGGAGUUUUCCUAAAGAACUUGGUGUCUCACUUGGAAUUUCCAAGGUUUAUUUUUCUUGUUCAACCUCGCAGUCAAGGGCCACCCCUUGCUGGGUCAAAGUCGUAAAGGUUUCUGUGAUUUGCGAGGAGUUCUGGAUGAACUAUGAUAGUAGGUCCAUAAGACAUAGAAUAUGGGGAAUUCUUGUCGACGUCUCUGGUAUCGACAAAUUCUCAACGGUUUUGAUAGAUUGACAGAGUACUCAAGAAUUUCCACAUCACUAAUAGUGUGUCUUAGGAAAUUUUGACUCUUCAAUUUCCAAAACUCAUGUUCAGAGAACUUUGCAAAAAGUAUCUCCGAGGGUAAUGUUUCUGCGGGUUCCUUCUUACUACAAGGGCAGAUAAGUAAGUCGUUACAUGGAGAAUGACAAACUGAUCCAAGUAAGAAAGACGAACUCUAUUCAUUAAACUCAUGAAUGCUUCAGGCGUAUUGGUCCUAUCCGAGGGGUAUCACUACGGACUCGAAGUGUCUGCAUCGAGUUCGGAAGGUAGUCUUCCAGACAUCCUUCCCUCACACUCAAACUGGUGAUAUUUGGAUCUCAGGUCCAUUUCUGAAAGUAAUUCUUUCCUUGUGUUGGCUCAACCGCUUCAUCUAUGCGAGGCAGAGACAACGAUUUCUAAUGGAAAAUCUUGAAGGAUUCCUCGAUAUCUGAGGUACAUACGAUGCAAUCGGUCGACUUCCGGGAGAAUAAGACUGGGGCUCUCCAGGGUGAGAAGCCUAGUCUUCCAAUUCUAUUUCUGUGCAGUUCGCUAAGUUGUCCGGACUGUUCUUGUAUCUCCGUAGGUGUUUAGACUGUGAGGCGAUCUGGUUAUAAGAGUCAUACUGGAUUCUAAGUUUGUGCACAUGCCAAUGCAAUUACUUGUAGUCUUGGGCGGUCUCUGUCCUAAAGUUCAUAUUAGAGUUCAUACAUGGUUCAACGAUCACAAUUUCAUGUAUACGAGUCGUAUAUAAUUAAGAUUGAAAAGGUAGUCGAAUAACUGAUUCUUCUUUAAGCUCACAUCCCCUUGAGAGAAAAGAAGUUAAAGUGGAAUCAUCAAUUCUAAAACCGUAGAACCUUGAUUAUAUAUGACCCCUAUGUAUACAUUCUUCAGUGAUAGAUCAACCGUAUGAAUCUUUGGAUUGAACUUGACGUACUGUACGAGUGAUGCUGCGGGGAUUCCUUCAGAAAGGAAAAGAACUAUAAGGUACUCCAUGCAUGAGUACUUCGAUGUUCUGAUAUGACGGCUUCGCUAAAAGAUGUUUACUGAGAAAGAUAUGUACUUAUGAAGCAGGUAUUGCGAGGAUCGAAUUUACUCGAGUCGUAUGAUAAAGUCGGAAUCAUAUGGAAACUAAAGACAUUAGAUUUGAACAUAAGGCGUUAUAGACAAAACACAACAAUGCAACUUUUAACUGGGUUACAAUACUUGCAGAGUAACUAUAGGAAUACUGCUGCGAACAAAGUAUACUACAAAAGACAAGUAUACGCAGCACGAGAGUCCCCUAACUGACAGGAUCUCACAAAAGAUAAAACUCGAGUUGCACUAGUUUUUAAACAUGAUUUAAAAGCAUAUAAAAUACUAACGAUUGGAAGUGAACCGAUACUAUAAUAGGUUGCUGCCUCUUNCCUUCGCUGCCUCUUUCCAUUUUGUGGUCAAACUCUUCUUAUUCCAUCGUCGAUCUGCCCUGAUGGGCAGUCUCUCUUGAAGUGCCCUAUCUCGCCACAUAGAUGGCAUAUCCGAGAGUUUUCGACAUUGGUGGUCGAAAUAAUGUGUUGGAUCCGAAUUCCGCAGCAGCGGGUAGUAUGCCCGUCUCUGUUGCAGUUAAAGCAAUGCGGUAUACGACAUCCUCCUAGAUGAUGGAAGGUGCACUUAUCGCACUUCGGUAAGUCCCCAGCAUAGGGUCUGGUUGGGUUAGGGGAAAUUAGGAUACCUAAAGGGAUGGUAGUAGGAGGUACCGAUGUCGUGGCUGUGAUGGUUGUUACUGGUGGUUGUUUCCUGUUCGCCUUUCGAAGCGAUUUGUCCUUUGAUUUAGCCCAAGUCUUCCGUUUGUUACACUUGGUCUUGGGACUCGGGGUGUCGUGAUAGUUUGUUGCUCGUUGAGGUGCUUGAUUGUUACUCGGAUUAGAAUUUGUGUUAACAAUCCCGCCAACAUUUGCGUUGUUAGCGUUAAGGUGGGUCAGAAUAGCUGACACGACAGCCGAGACUGCAGCUUGAAAGGUAGCUGCAUCAAUCUGAAGAGUCAGUGGUUGGUUGAUGGGCUGAUCGUUUUUCUUUGGUGACAUGAUUCUGUUUCACGGAAAGAAAAAUGAAUUUGUGAGCGAGUAUGGUUGAACCUAGACGUAGUUAGGCUGCUCAUGUAUAGAAUAGAAGUGUGUUCUCUAAGGUUUGACCCACAUCCCUAUGAUGCAGUCCUAGUACGGAAUGGAUGUAUGUUCACGAAGGUUUGACCUACAUCCCUAUGAUGCAGUCCUAGUAAAGAUUGGAAGUAAGUUCGUACGAUGGUCUCAAGAUGUUUUUCGUUCUAGCCGAGGUAUCAUUGGUUGGUGAAUAACAUGAUCCAACCACUGAAAGAGACUUGGAAAUGUCUCCGGAGUUAAAUUACUAUAGUCCAAUGACUUGACUAAAGCAUGUUUCAGGUAGACUCCAAUGAAAGUAUGAUGAGAGUACUUGAAUAAAGAAUGACAUAGAAGUUAGCCGACUGUCAAUAUCCUUGAUAUUCAUGACGUACAAGUUCAGGAAAAUGACCUUGUAGAAAGGUCUUACAUCAUAUCUAGAGUAGAUAGUUCUUGACAGCAUAAAGACCUAACCAAAAGUACUUACAGUACAAGAUAGUUUCAUAGAAAAUGCCACAUCGGGCAUAGACAGAAAAACGAUUCCUUUCUAAGAAGGAAAAUAAAGUAAAGCAUCUACUACUGGCAACGGUCAUCCCUAUGGUGAACUCUCAGUUCAGUCAGUUGGCGUUCCACAUCAAGUAGGUGUCUUUCGUACACCCUCUGGCGUACUCAAAGUUCUAUGAUUUCGGCUCGUGAUUCAGCCAGUGCUUGCAGCAGGGUUUCAUGGUUUCUCUCAGAUCUCUCACGAGCAUCUUCUAGACAAAUGGUGCAGAGGGGAUGCAUUCUCGCAUCGGCGACAACUUCAGUGAUCUGAUGUAGGGCUGUCCUGCCUUGAAUCUCAUUUCGGGCCACUCUGCGGACCGAGAUUGGCAAGAUUCUGUCUGCUGAGCCCCCAUUGCUCAGGUCAUAGAAGCUUCGGUCACCAUUAAAUGGCAUGGGCUGAUAUUGUCCUUGGCUCCAUGUUUCCAAACAUUCCACUCACUCAGGCAUCGGGCCAUGAAAAGCCGGACUAGUGUUAGGAAUUGGGAAGUGAGUUGCCUGGGGUAGGUUCUCAACCUCGGGUUCGGAGUUAGCACCGUCCGAAAGGUCUUCAUCAUGGUGAUCAUUCAUAGGGAUAGGAUGAUCAUUCUCUGGUUCUUCUUCAAACCAUCCAACAAUGACCUCAUUCGGAAGGUACUGGUUGCCGUGGGGAUGGAGUCCAGCCAUGUUAUCUACGCGAGAAUUGGGGUAAGAAAAUAAUUAUUAGACGAACUAUCUAGAUAAUUAUUAGAAAAUCUUCAUUAGUUAUAUCGCUAUUUGUAAAGUGCAUACCAGUUAUAUGUAAUCAACACAUGAUAGGCCUUCGAAUAAGUGACCUUAACUCCAUAUUCACAAGGAAUAGGGGUAAAGCAAAAAUUUCACCGAUUCUAAGUCUAUUACAUCCUAGUUACAUAUAGCCUUAGUGUAUCCACUUAGCAACUAUCAACUUAGUAAUGAAGAUCCUUUUUAGUUCUCAAGUAAGUAAUUAUGGUAACACAAAACACCCCUAUGGUAUUUUAGACUUAGGUUCUGUUAUAAUGUUCUCAUUGUGGUAAUGUUGGUAAGUUUUUAGACUUGUUGCCAUAUCACAACCAUUCUUGGGCAUAUGCUAAUCACUCCUCGGACCAGCAUAGUUGAUCAGGCUAUGCNNNNNNNNNNNNNNNNNNNNNNNNNNNNNNNNNNNNNNNNNNNNNNNNNNNNNNNNNNNNNNNNNNNNNNNNNNNNNNNNNNNNNNNNNNNNNNNNNNNNNNNNNNNNNNNNNNNNNNNNNNNNNNNNNNNNNNNNNNNNNNNNNNNNNNNNNNNNNNNNNNNNNNNNNNNNNNNNNNNNNNNNNNNNNNNNNNNNNNNNNNNNNNNNNNNNNNNNNNNNNNNNNNNNNNNNNNNNNNNNNNNNNNNNNNNNNNNNNNNNNNNNNNNNNNNNNNNNNNNNNNNNNNNNNNNNNNNNNNNNNNNNNNNNNNNNNNNNNUUGUGACACGGAUUUUAGUAUGAAUGCAGGCACGUAUACUUUGUUAAAUAUUUUAUUAUUUAAAAGUAUAAACUCUUAGACAGAGUGUUUUAAUCCCAAUGUAUUUAUAGUUAGUAUAUCUUUUAUGGGUUGAUAUACUUAAUUCACUAUAAACAAUACCCUGAUACCAAUCUAUCACACCCCAAAUCCAAGAACGGCGGAAACGUUCCGGGGUGGAGGACGUCAUGUGGAGUAUCAUAACAAUGUAGAGUAGUAAACAAGCAAAAACAUCAUCCAUUGCAUUAAAAGUAAAGUUUUAGUACAUGUGUGUUCUUUCAUUGUAGUAAGACAUCAAAAUAUGUAAUCAAAAUAAAAUACGAGUCUUGUCUGUGCUCCGUCUUCUCAAAACCUGGCCAUCGUACCUGUCUAACUGGUGACCUGAGAAUACAAGUUAUUUUGAAAGAGAGUAUCAGCGUAAAGCUGGUGAAUUCAUAAGUAUUAAUGUGUCUUUGAUUUGUAAAAACUGUAAGGUAAUGACUUGGAAACCUUUGGAAAAAGACUGUAUAAGUGUGAAUUGUUUGAAAACAGUUGAAAAUGUUUGAAUACUCUAGCAAAUCCCUAUGAUUUCUAUUAGUAUAAUGAGUAGCCUUCUACCAAGACUUAAAUAUUAUGUAAGUAGUCUUCUACCAAGACUCGUGUGUUAUGUAAGUAGUCUUCUACCAAGACUCGUGUGUUUUGUAAGUAGUCUUCUACCAAGACUCGCGUGUUUUGCUAAAACAAAGAUGGUUUUCCUUCUUUUUGACUAUUACUAACAAUACUUAGUCUAACUCAUCGUUUAUGUGAAUGUAUCACAAAAUAAGGAAAUAGGAAAAAUAUAACUAUGUAAGUGCUAUCCUUUUGUAUUAGGAUUAACAUGACAUCGCGAAUAGCGACAUGUAUAACCUUUGAACAUCCGUAGAUUGUUUAGUUUUCCUCUGUAGCUACAACAGGUUUAAGGAAGGGUUAGUCCCGUAAAGGUACACCUAUUAUAAGUAUUAAUCGUAGGCAUCCGUAGAUGGUCAUUUACCUCUGUAGCGAACAGUAUGCCAAAGGAAUGGUUAGUCCCGUAAAGGUACCCCUAAUAUAAGUAAUAACCGUAGGCAUCCGUAGAUGUUCAUCUACCACUGUUGCUAACAGGUGGGUUUCGGAAUGGUUAGUCCCGUCUAGAUAUCCCGUUGAACUGGGAUAGGCAGGACAAUUUACACAGAAGGUACUAAUAAAUCAUCGUAGUGAAUCGAGAUACAAGUAUUCAUGUAAGUGUAUACAGGUAAAUGUAUCUAUGUAAAGGUAUUCAUGUAAGGUAUUCAUGUAAGCGUAUCUAUGUAGACGUAUUCAUGUAACAUGUAAUGUAUAGUAUAGACUCAUGAAUGAACUGACUCUGGUGUAAUUCCUUGUAAUAGGAAUAUUGUUUUGAAUCACCUAACUGUCCCUAUAAUAGUUAACAGGAAGGUUAUUGAUUUUCCAAACAGGUUUAUACACCCUUGCUACACAAGAGUGUGGGAAACUGACUGAAGGAUGAAAACUACAACAUCAAUACAUAUAUAAGAACAUAAGUGUAUAGAUACAGUUUGGUUCAAGAAUGUAAAAAUGGGUUUGUAAGACAUCUAAGAGUUUUAAACAAUAAUUAACAAUGACUUGAUGUCAUUUUAAUAAACAUUUCAAACGUAAUACUUUUGCUAUCAAGGUAUUUUUAAGAUAUAAAACCAUUUCAUGCAUCACAUUUUGUAGUAUGUGAAAUCUGCUGGAUG